UACGUAGGGUGCAAGCGUUAUCCGGAAUUAUUGGGCGUAAAGAGCUCGUAGGCGGCUUGUCGCGUCGACUGUGAAAUCCCGCGGCUCAACUGCGGGUCUGCAGUCGAUACGGGCAGGCUAGAGUUCGGUAGGGGGAGACUGGAAUUCCUGGUGUAGCGGUGAAAUGUGCAGAUAUCAGGAGGAACACCGGUGGCGAAGGCGGUUCUCUGGGCAUUACCUGACGCUGAGGAGCGAAAGUGUGGGGAGCGAACAGG
rnacentral:rRNA from 1 species